GCCGUCAUAGCUCAGUUGGAAGAGCGCUCGCCUUGUAAGCGAGAUGUCGCGGGUUCGAUUCCUGCUGGCGGCA
rnacentral:tRNA from 1 species